rnacentral:tmRNA from 1 species
GGGGACGUUCUGGAUUUGACAGGGCGUACUGGUUGACACAGGCUGCGAGCCGGAGCGCUGUUCUCCGUCAUCAACGAGCAAAAAAAUCAAAUGCCAACAACAAUAAUGUUGUAGCUCUCAACUUCAGAAAAGACAACGUAGUUGCUUUUGCUCCUGUAGCAAGAAAAGCUGCUUAGUUUCUGAUUGAGCCACUGGGUAAUCCCCGCCGGCCGGAUUAUCUGGUCCCUUAUGCCGGAAUGCUCUCAGGGGAUGAGGAUAACCUGAGCUAAGACAAUCCUCAAGGUCAGGCAUGACUUAAAAUAUGCUUACUCCAGAUUUAGGGCAGGGUUGACGCCUUGUCUGGAGGACAUCUAAG